AUUGACCGAAAAAGUUUGCAAACUCCAGUUUCAUUCUACCCCUUUCUAUCUUUGGAAAGGCUCCUGUACUUCACGGUGACUUACUCACGGAAGUAAGAAAAAGCCGCCAUCUACAGGUAUGACAGGAGUGGGCACCUGGCCUGGUUUCUGUCCCAGUGUCUUUCCAGCCCCUGCACCAGGCAACAGAGACCCCAGAGAAGGACUGGAGCCAGGGACUGUGGAUCCAUCAGCAGGUGAGAACCCUCCAGACAGCCCAGGAAGUGGACAGCAGCACGUGCUUGUGGUGAGGAAGGGGUACUCAGCUCAGUUUUGCUACACAGAAAAACCAG
rnacentral:lncRNA from 1 species